rnacentral:tRNA from 1 species
GGGGUGGUAGUUCAACUUGGUUAGAGCACCGGCCUGUCACGCCGGAAGUUGCGAGUUCGAUUCUCGUCCAUCCCG